AUUAUUGUGCAUUACCACAGAUUGGGACGUCACAGUUGAUGGGUUCCAUCCAGCUGGGGAUCCAACAAGCAGUGGGAAGCUUGGCGAGUAAACCUGAGCUAGAUGUUUUAAUUCAAGACUUUUAUGUUGUAGAAACUAUAUUCUUUCCUAAUACUGGUUCUCAAUCAACGCCGGCACAUCAGUAUUUGGAUUUCAGAUUCAAGGUUUAUGCCCCCAUAGCAUUUAGACACUUUAGAGAUCUGUUUAGAAUUCAACCAGAGGACUAUCUUGUAUCGUUAUGUACGGAACCUCUCCGAGAACUUAGUAAUCCCGGGGCUAGCGGCAGCAUCUUUUACCUCACAAAUGAUGAUGAGUUCAUCAUCAAGACUGUGCAGCACAAGGAAGCAGAGUUCCUCCAGAAGUUGUUGCCAGGAUAUUAUAUGAAUCUGAACCAAAAUCCUAGAACGUUAUUACCAAAGUUUUUCGGCUUGUAUAAUUAUCAGUGUAAUGCCAAGAAUAUUAGGUUAAUAACUAUGAACAAUUUGCUUCCGUCAUCAAUAAAGAUGCACCAAAGAUAUGAUCUAAAGGGAUCCACGUACAAGAGAAAGGCUAGUAAGUAUGAGCGUAGUAAAGAGUCGGCCACUUUUAAAGAUCUAGAUUUUAUGGAGCAUCAUCCUGACGGCAUCCUUUUAGAAGCUGAAACAUACAAGGCUCUCAUUAACACCAUUGCCAGGGACUGUAGGGUAUUAACAUCAUUCAAGAUCAUGGAUUACUCCUUGUUAGUGGGCAUUCACAAUCUUGACCUGGCAGCCAAGAAAAAAGCACAAGAGAAGGAGAGAAGGUUAAAUGGUGGUGAUGGAGGUGUUGCGGAAGAUGGAAAUGGAGAAGGUGCAGAAGGGUCAAGUCUAACUCGCUCCCGCUCUAUCAACCGACAUAAACUAGUGGCUCACUCAACAGCCAUGGAAUCUAUACAAGCAGAUUCUGAUCCCAUAGAUGAAGAAGAUCAAGUUCCGCCUGGUGGUAUUCCUGCAAGAAAUGCCAAAGGAGAACGUUUAUUACUCUUCUUAGGCAUCAUUGAUAUUCUUCAAAGUUUUCGAUUAAAGAAAAAACUUGAACACACUUUCAAGUCAAUGAUCCAUGAUGGGGAUACUAUAUCAGUUCAUCGACCUACCUUCUAUGCUCAGAGGUUCCUAAAAUUUAUGGAAAACACAGUCUUCAAGAGAAUUCCAUCACUGGACCUUCCAGAAAUCAAAGGCGGCCACCGCAAAUUCCGAAAUCUGGUCUCCAGCUACAUAGCUUUGAGACAUUCGCCAUCGCGGCGGAGAGGUGCAUCCCUGCGUAUAUUACGGCCUAUGUCCCAGGUAGACUCUGAGCAUACAGCUGAAGGGCAUGACAGUCAAGAAGGAUCAUCUGUUCGCUGUAAAAGAAGUGCAAGCGUUCGAAGCCGAAGGUCUGGUGGAAGAUUGCCAGGUGGCAAUGUUAGUGCUGAGGACCGGCCGGGUGAGAGUGGUGAGGUCGCUAUCUCCUUAUCCAUGGCUACAGGAGGUUCGGGGGCCACCACCACUACCACCACCACCCUCUCAUCAGCAGUGGCUGGAGCAAUCGCAACUGGUGGUGUAUCAGGAACAGCACUAGGGGGAGCCUCCACUGCUGCCUCUGGUAUAGGAUCAGGAGCACCUUCCACACCAGUCAAUCUUCCAGCUGUACUUCAAGACCGACCUCACUCUGGUCGUGGUCGUGUGCCGCCUCCAGUUCCUCCGCGCUCGCCUCGAGGUGGAGCAACUCAGACCACCUCUGCGUCAUCUUCAUUCUCAACUGCUAGAGGUAGUGGCCGAGGUGUAGUUACUGUGAGUGGAGGAGGGAGUUCAAGUCAUCCACCUUUAAGCUCUACUCCUCCACCUCCAUGGGAUGCUGCAUCUGGGGCAUCUGGUAGCACAGUGGUCAGCACUUCAUCUCCACGGGUCCAAGUGAGAUCGUCACAGACACAUGUCACCACUGUUGCAAUCCAAGAGGAUAGAACUGAUGUUGUGAGAAAGGGUCAAAAGUUGCGCUUUAAGGGCCUUGCUGAGGAACCCCAAAGUGUCAGAGAACCUGUGCUUGUUAGCUAUAAGGAGAUAAAAUCCACCGCUGUAAGCGUGAGUGACGUGCACCUGGAGCCUCGGACAGACUCGCGAUCAACGCUGAGUGUGGACUCUAGCGUGGGGUCAACACCAAUGGUCCGUACCCUCACCUGGACUCCCCCACUCUCUGUAGAGGGUAGUACCCCUACCUGGACCGAGGGAACCCCCAGCUUUACCGAGUCCUCCUCUAGUGGAGAUUUAGAGGACUUCGACGAGCCAUAGGAAUAGACAAGAUUGUCACAAGUCCGUUUUGCUGAUGAGGCACCAGCAAAAUGGGCAGAAAAACCCCGGCACGCAGCACUCGAGACACUGAUGCCUCAGAUUACCAGAUAGGUGGGGGAUGAAUGCAGCUCACGAAAGUUACAUCAAAUGUCCAUCUACACAUACCCUGUAACUACUAUAAGAGGUGUCCCACUACUCCAGUUCACAGUCUUAACACUACCCAAGAGUCCACUGACAACAUCAUCUUCCAUGAGACAGAGAUGACCCACCUGUAGUAUCCUGAGGAAUCACUACAACUGCUGUUUGUGUAGUGUAUCUUUGGAGAACCAGCCACCUCAGCCCAGAUGACAGCAUUUAUGCAGAGAAGAAACUAUUUCUAUUGCUAUAAAAUAUAGUCCACCAAUUCCAAUAUCAGCCUACAUACUCUGUGAUGAAUGUCUUAAAUAAUAGUCAUUUUAAUUAUUGUCACAUACAAGUGGUAUUAGAUUUAAGCUUCUUCACACAAGUGAUUUUCAUUGAAUUUCAUCCACUGAAAUCUACAGGUAUAAUUUUUCAUUCUGUUUAUACUUCAUCCACUGAGUAAUAAAUUAUAUUACUGUAACCUUGAAUAGGUUAUAUUUCACUCAAAGCAUUGAUGCAUUGCUCAUUGAUCUCUGUACAUACUUAUACAGUAUACUCUAAUAUAGCAGAACUUUGUAAGAUGCUCAAAUAUCAGGUAUUUAUACCUUUGAUUUUUAUGAAGCCUUAUGAAGACAUGGCACAAGAUAUUCAUAUAUUUUUGCUUGAUAUGUCAUUAAAGGUUUUAGUGAUAUAAUUACAGUAUUAUGCUCAGUACAGUAUGACAAGUUUGUGAGAUAUUGAUUUUUUUUAAAUUUUUAGAGCUUUGGCUACUGGUACUGAGAGUUUGACAUGCAUUAUUUCAAAUGUAAUGUGUUAAUUUCAUAUUUUGCCUGUCUUGAUUGAUCAACUGAUAAUUUCCUACACCAUUGGCAACCCUCUUCUGGGAAAGUCCCAGCAUCAGUGAAGUCUGUAUGACUUCUUACCUGAAACUGACUUAUUAUACCAACUUUGACUUCCCACUAUAACACCUAUGCCCACCCUUCACAAUCAGAAAAUAUAUAUUUAAAGGUUGCAUAUUUUUUGUUGUGAAAAUUAUAUGCUAGGUCUUGUAAAUUCAGGAUCCUUUUCUUUUUAUUUUUUUUUUAUUAUCACACUGGCCGAUUCCCACCAAGGCAGGGUGGCCCGAAAAAGAAAAACUUUCACCAUCAUUCACUCCAUCACUGUCUUGCCAGAAGGGUGCUUUACACUACAGUUUUUAAACUGCAACAUUAACACCCGUCCUUCAGAGUGCAGACACUGUACUUCCCAUCUCCAGGACUCAAGUCCGGCCUGCCGGUUUCCCUGAACCCCUUCAUAAAUGUUACUUGCUCACACUCCAACAGCACGUCAAGUAUUAAAAACCAUUUGUCUCCAUUCACUCCUAUCAAACACGCUCACGCAUGCCUGCUGGAAGUCCAAGCCCCUCGCACACAAAACCUCCUUUACCCCCUCUCUCCAACCUUUCCUAGGCCGACCCCUACCCCGCCUUCCUUCCACUACAGACUGAUACACUCUUGAAGUCAUUCUGUUUCGCUCCAUUCUCUCUACAUGUCCGAACCACCUCAACAACCCUUCCUCAGUCCUCUGGACAACAGUUUUGGUAAUCCUGCACCUCCUCCUAACUUCCAAACUACGAAUUCUCUGCAUUAUAUUCACACCACACAUUGCCCUCAGACAUGACAUCUCCACUGCCUCCAGCCUUCUCCUCGCUGCAACAUUCAUCACCCACGCUUCACACCCAUAUAAGAGCGUUGGUAAAACUAUACUCUCAUACAUUCCCCUCUUUGCCUCCAAGGACAAAGUUCUUUGUCUCCACAGACUCCUAAGUGCACCACUCACUCUUUUCCCCCCAUCAAUUCUAUGAUUCACCUCAUCUUUCAUAGACCCAUCCGCUGACACGUCCACUCCCAAAUAUCUGAAUACAUUCACCUCCUCCAUACUCUCUCCCUCCAAUCUGAUAUUCAAUCUUUCAUCACCUAAUCUUUUUGUUAUCCUCAUAACCUUACUCUUUCCUGUAUUCACCUUUAAUUUUCUUCUUUUGCACAUCCUUCCAAAUUCAUCCACCAAUCUCUGCAACUUCUCUUCAGAAUCUCCCAAGAGCACAGUGUCAUCAGUAUUUAUUUGCUUAUGCAGUUUCAUAUCUACUUUCAAAAGAGUGGGAUAGAUGCAUCAGGCCUUAUACCAUAAUACAGAAGUGUUGUACUUCUCGAUUCAUGUAAUGUGUGUGUACUGAAUUAAGGUCUCCUUGAAGCUUUACUGCUUUUAUCUAUUCAUUCACUAUUCCCAUGUACUGGUAGUUUCUUUCUUCAACAUUAAGGCUCCUGUCAAGUUUUCAGGUACACUUCUUUAAAUUUUAUACAGUAUUUUAAAAUUGCAUGCUUUUGUUAAUGUUUAAAAUAAUGACUGCAUAUCAGGUUUGUGUACAAAAUUAAUAUGAUUUUAUCCACAUAAGUUUGUGUACAAAAGUUGUAUUGUUUUAUUUGUGUAAUGAAUAUUAUAACCAUUUAAGGAAAGGAACUGACCCAUAUCAUUUGAUCCAUAUCACAAUGUCCACUAUAUUUGUUGAUACAGUAUUAUUUAAUUAUAAACUGUUGAUAAAAAAUAAUGCUAUACUCCUAACAGUUCAUCCUCAGUAAAGUGUUGUCAGUUUUAUUAAGUAUACAUUUAAUAUUAACAUACUAAAUAUACACUGUUACUAUAUAAUAAUGGUGAUUUAGGUAUUUCUUUUCAUUCAGUAAUCCUCUUCAUAUGUCAAUACAGUACUGUAAAAUCCUUAACAUUGAUGAAUGAAAUUGGACAUUUGUAAGUAAUCUGCUAGUGAGAGCAAACAACUGAAUAACUGUACCGUUUUGUACUUUAAAUAUUUGUAGUAUAUGGAUUAAAUGGAAGCUAAAUUGACUUUAAAUAUAAAUGUAACAAUAUAAUUAGCAAAAAAGUGACUAUGACAUUGCAGGUUGAGUGUGGUGCGAAUGUGUGCAGAAAAUAUCUCACCACACAUGAGAUGUUGUCAUACAGUUUGCAUUAUUGCUUAUUGUUCUCUAUUUGUAAAUAAUAGACAGACUCUUUUUAUGAAAACAGUAAUGUAUAUAUGUAUUUGUUAGUAAUUUUGUUGUGAUUACUUCUAAGACACAUGCAUUGAAGUCUUAAUAUUACAGUAGUAGUUCAUGACAUGCAAUACUCAUAAUAUAUACUGUAGUUUAAAAAGUCAUGGAAACUGUUAAUUACUGUAAUGCUUGCCUCACAGGUAACCUUGUAUAUAAGCUUCUUGUCAAACUGUUACAUUUUAGUUUUGAAGAUUACUUUGUUAUUUAAGUCACAUUCUCUGGUCAAACUGAGUUUCAAGAAUAUUAACUCAGAACAAAUGUUGUGUUUCACCAUCCACAAGUUAGCUGGGGAAGUAUGAUAAAUCUUUCUUGACACAUUAUUUAUUCAAGUAAGCCAGCUACUCAGAGGUUUACCUAAGUGAAAAUUAUAAAGUUUCAGCUCUUAUUGUCUCCCAUUAUAUGUUAACUGCAGUAAGAAAUAACAUUGCUAACUUGUUUUUGAUGGUAGUCAUCAAUAGUAUAGCCCAUGGAGAGCAAUAUGACUGAAGGUUUCCACUCAGAAGUAUUUUAACCCUUUGACUGUUGCAACCCCAAAUCCUGAGGUGUCUCCUGGUGUCGCAAAAUAAUUGAAAAAAAAAAAAAACUUAUGAAAUGAUAGAGAAUCUUUUCCCGAUGGUAAUGACACCAAAAGUAUGAAAUUUGAUGGAAAACUUACGGAAUUACGCUCUUGCGAAGUUAGCACCUAUGCAACAUUUAAGCAUCAGCAGUUUCGCCCACUUUGAGCCCUAUUUUCAGUUAAUUCCACUGUUCCAGUCCACCAAACUCAUAGCUAUUUCUCUAGAACUUCAUUUGUUCUAUCGAUUGAAUACAAAAAACCACCCAUUUACCGAUUUCAGCUACCCAAUAAAGUGGACAGAAAUUGGCAGUUUGACCAAUUUCAUGCAAAUUAAAAAAUGUCAAUUUCAAAAUAGGGUCCAGAAUGAACAAUGCAGACAUUCUUGGCACUAAAAUAACAUUUUCUCUGUUAAUCAGUCACAUCUCCAGGCCCAUUAUAAUCCUCUUGCUUUCUAUUUUGAAUUUUUAUUCACACAAAAAAUAGAUUUACUGUCAUGCAGACUAUUGCAAUAUUGUAAUAAUUGUAUAAAAAGCAUCAACCCAUUUGUGACUGCAUAUUAGAAUGGCUAGUUGAACAUUUAUUGGACAAUGACAUCAUUUGUUUACUCUUGAACAUCGGCAAAAAUUGAACAUUUCUUCCUCUUUGAGCUCCAUUUCAAGAUCCUUUUCAUACUAAAACCAAUCAAAAUCACUUCUAUUUCUAUAAUAAUCUUUCCCUUCUAUCAAAUGAGACCAAGAAAACAAGAAUACAACCAUAAAUACUAUACGAGAAAACACCUCAAAGUCGGCUUUUUAAUCCAAAAACAUGGUCGGAGUUUUUUUUUCUCAUUGUGUACUUCGUGCUACAGGAUUAUUUUUAUACUGCACACACAGACCCAUUCUCUCACAUGUGGGCUUACCAGCUUUCUCCUGCUUGAUUUGAAGCCACUAGAAUUUUUGAGUACGUAUAUAUACAUCAAACACAUUGGCUCAUAAGACGUAUAUAUAUAUGACCAAAACAGUCAAAGGGUUAAUUCUCUUCAAUACAUUAAGUAAAAUGAAAAAUUAACAAAAAUUUAACACUAUUAACUGUUAAUUUUAAGAAAUUAUCAUAUUAAAGACCAAAUUAUAUUGAAAGAUUUAAAUAACUGUAUAAGGAGAUUUAAUAAAAAAUCAUAUUUAUUCUAAUCCUGUACCUGUGGAUUUA